rfam:Streptomyces sp. WM4235 P404contig14.1, whole genome shotgun sequence.
CGGGCGGUGUACUCCCAGAUGGCCUCCUCGUCCACGAGGGCGUCCUCGCCGAAGUAGGCGCCGUCGGCGACGGUCUGCAGGACGGCGUCGUCGCCGUAGGGGCCGGUGCCGAUCUGGUCGAUCCGGCCGUGGGCGAGCAGGAACACCCUGUCGGCGGGGCUGCCGAAGGAGGUGAGCUCCUGGCCGGCCUCGAAGUCGACCUGGUGGCACCGGGCGGCGAGCUCGGUCAGGACGUCGACGUCCUCGUACUCGCGCAGCAGCGGGAGCUCUCCGAGUUCGGCGGGGAUCACCUGGACCUGGGUGCCGGUCUUGAUGAACUCCACCCGGCCGUCACCGACGGAGUAGCUGAGCCGCCGGUUGACCCGGUACGUACCGCCCUGCACCGACACCCACGGGAGCAUCUUGAGCAACCACCGGGAGGUGAUCUCCUGCAUCUGCGGCGCGGACUUGGUCGUGGUUGCCAAGUUCCGCGCGGCCGAGGUCCCGAGACUGCGCUGCGGUGCCUGGACUUCGG